UUACAGACCGAUGAUAAAGGAGGAAUCACAAAUAAUGGAGAAAGAGGAUGAAAAUACACAAUCAGAAUUGGGUUAAUAAACAAAAUCCGAUACAACCCGAUAAAAAUAGAAAAGGGAUGUUAAAAUUUCUUAAACGAAAAAAACUUUUGAAUUGAUGAUUGAUAAUAAAUAAAAUGAAGCCUAAUUACCCACGAACAAAAA